UGUUAGGGCCUUGCAUCUAGUCGAGCAUGCUAAAUGUUAUGUGCUAUGUGUUUAUGAGUGUUUGGCAUGUCUACUCGCUUUCCAUAGCCAUGAAUGAAUGUGAUGGAUGAAUGUACGUUUCCGCUAGUCCAACGCUAGUCGGAAUUCAUAGAAUGGGCUAGUCCAACGCUAGACCCUUAGGGAUUUCCCCUCGUUAGUACAUGUUUGCAUGUUCAUUACAUGUCAUGCAUUUUUUUUAGUUUUAUCAUUUUGCAUGCCCCUCGAACCCCUUUUCCCUCCAUUUUAGGAUUUUUGCAUUUCAUGCUA
rnacentral:lncRNA from 1 species